UAUCCAGCCGAGACAAAUCAACGCCGGAAAGAUCUUAGCAGCUCUACUACGGUGGAAGACCUAUGGACUUAAUAUUUUUCGAGGAGAUUUAAUUUUGGUCUCUUUCAUUUAAUUAUCUACAUCUCAUGCAAAUAAUUAUCUAACCUCUAUGCAUAAACAUAAACAUAAACAUCCAGGCAUAUAACAAAAAUUAAACUGGUGAUGAUCAUGGAUCCAGGAUGGGGUCAUAGUACAAGCACAUGUAUGUCAAUUGGUUAGAUCGUCUUCAAUUCUUGAUUCGAUCUUGAGCACCCUAGGUCCAAUUGCGAUCAACUCCUUGAUCCAUCUUCAAUCAACCCUUGAUCUCGAUCCGCGCAAGGCGUGCUUGUAGAGGCAUGCAUCGAUCAACCAUUGACGUGCAAACACAUCACAGAUUACAUCACAGAUAAACUUUAAAAAUAAAAGAAUAAUUACAACAUUUUUUCAUGAGACACGCAGGUCUCUAAUACAUCAAUUUAAGAUGCACGCAGGCAUCUAAAAAAUCUGAAUUACAUGCCAUCACAUAACAUCACAGAACAUUGCAGAAUAUUUCAGCACAUGUAUAAGGGUACGUCCAUGAUCAUCACCAUGCGCAUCACAUGCAUUAAAUAUAAUUUACAGAUCUGAAUAUUUAACUGAUUAUAUCAUCUUAUGAGUUGCUGAUCAUGCAAGAUAUGAUUCUAAAUAUUUGUAAUUAUAUUAUCAAAAUAUUAGAAUCAUUAAUCCAAGCAUUGAAAAUUAGCAUGCAGAAAAAUCAGCAAGCUGAAAUUCUGCAUGCAUAAAAAUCAGCAGGCAUAAUCCUUUAAAUUUCAGAUCUAAUAUGCCCUUUAAUAAUUAAUCCUAACCUUAAUCUACGAAGCCUAGGCUCUGAUACCACUGUUGGAAUCCCUCGCACGCCGCAAAAAAUUCUAGAAAAAUUCUGCGCGCAGCGGAAGACAUGCGCGAGAUUCAGUUCAUCGCAUGAACUUAUUUUAAAACCGAUGUUCGUAGUACAUUAGGAUUAAAACUUUUUCAUACAAUUAGGAAGAUUAGAUCUUCACCUUGUGCGGGUAGAUGAUCACCGCAAAUCUGAUGAUCGUGGAUUUGUUGAAGGUUCGCUUAAAGCCGCACAUGCGUCCGGCCUCUACGGGUAUCCACACGAGGCAGAGGACCAAUCCAAACUCUCAAAUCUCCCUGGGGUGCUAGCUCUCUUGCAGAGAUAUAUUUUGAUGGUUGAAAUCCUCUCUUGAUUUAUCAACUCUUUGAUAGAUCUCAAGAGAAAAAAGAAGGACUUGAAAUGGAGGAAGAAGAUCCCAUCUUGCUGCCUCCUUUUCUCUUAUUCUUGUGGAUGGAAGAAGGGUGAAGAGAGAAAGCCACACACCACCCUAUUUUUCUUUGAUGCUCAUGGCUGAAAACCCAAGAGGAAGGAGGCUUUCCCAUGGCACAAAAUCCAAGAGGGAGGAGGCACUCUCACGGCACAAAAGCAAGAGAGAGGGGAGGAGCUCUCACGGCACAAAAAACAGAGAGAGGAGGAGGAGCUCUCACGGCAGGAAAAAAAAAUCCAUGAUGUGGGCCGCCCCUUUUUUUGUUUGUUUGCGGCUGAAUUCAUCAUGGGAGAGGGGGGCUGCCAUAUCCUUUUUUUUUUAGAUGAGAAGAGGGGGCCACAUGCUCCCCUUUUUUUUGUUUGAACCCUAGGCAUGAGCUCCUACAAAUUAGGAGCUCACGUCUAUCUUUUGGCAGG
rnacentral:lncRNA from 1 species